rnacentral:lncRNA from 1 species
AAUCUUCUAAAUUCGUAGGAAGACUAUUUUUUUUCUUAUAAAAAAGAUGACUAUGACUACAGUUAGCAACACAAAAAAAAUUGAUACUUAGUCAUUACAAAAAUCUAAUAGAUAAAAACUUAAGGUUCAGUUUAGAGUGUUUAGAGCGGUAGUUGAUAGUGUUAGUGAUUCAAGUUGUGAUCAUUUGUGGUGAUCAGUGGUGGUUUCUGAUGGUCGGAAUAGUGGUAAGAGUGGUGGCUUGAGUGUUGGUUAAAGUGGUAGUCGAUGGUGGUUGGAUUGGUGAUCAAGUUAGAUGAAGUGUUCAUUGGCAGUGUUAAUUUAGCUUUUAAGUCCUCCCUCACUUUCCUUUGAAAGCUCCGUAAUAGAUGGUUCAAUUACUUGGAGUUGACUAAAAUCAUGUAUUUUAGAGUGACUCACAUUUAUCGUGAAGAGAACUGUUGUGCAGAUAAAAUGGCUGCUUUAGGCAUCAAUGUUGAUGGUUUUAAUUGGUGGGAUAAUGUUCCGCCUAGUGUUCAAGGAGAUUAUAUUAGUAAUUUAAUGAGUAUUCCGUCUUUUAGAUUUCAUUAAAUUCAUUGCACUCUUUUUCCCUUAUCCUUGGUUUUAUCCCUUGGGGAUUUCCAGGAAAGAUUUUUAAUGAGACACUGACUGGCAGGUUCCUUGUAUUUUUUGUUUCCUUGGGUUUUGGUCUAGUCCC